AGCGAACGCUGGCGGCAGGCCUAAUACAUGCAAGUCGAACGAUCCUUCGGGAUAGUGGCGGACGGGUGAGUAACACGUGGGAACGUGCCCUUUGGUUCGGAAUAACUCAGGGAAACUUGAGCUAAUACCGUAUAAGCCCUACGGGGGAAAGAUUUAUCGCCAUUGGAGCGGCCCGCGUCUGAUUAGCUAGUUGGUAGGGUAAAGGCCUACCAAGGCUACGAUCAGUAGCUGGUCUGAGAGGAUGAUCAGCCACACUGGGACUGAGACACG
rnacentral:rRNA from 1 species